rnacentral:lncRNA from 1 species
CGCCGUCGUCGUCGCCGCCGUCGGCGCUUCACCCCGAUUUUCGCCUCCGCUGCGUCUGGUUGCGCGCGUUCUCGGUCCGAUUUCACCGUUCCGUUCAUCGUCCUCUCCCCUUUUUUUUUUCCCGAUUUUGCCCUUCCUGCUUUUCCCGUCCGUUCCUCGGCGCGUGGAUUAUCCCCUUUUUCUUUUCUAUUUCCCAUCAUCUUCCUUUUUCGUUCCUUUUUCUUCUUUUUUGCUUUUCCUUCCUCUUUGGCCCCUUGACUUAUCCAUAUUUUUUAUUCUUUUUAUAUAUUUAUUUUUUAUCUGACUCGUUUAUCUAUGUUUCUAUCUUCCUUUUUUAAUGUGUAUGCAGGUGACCGAUACAACUUACAGGGACCAAAACUUGGGCGACCAUAGAUUCGAGGAGGAAGGGAUUUAGACAAAAAAGAUUAUAAAAUGAGAGGGAGGUUAAGCUAAUAUCUUUGCCUGCUUCAAGUUGGUCACACCCAACAAUGACGUAAAUAAUCUAUAUAAUAUAUCUUAAGUAAAUUCAUAAAAACAAAUCUUAGGUUUUCAAUUCAGGGCACUGAUUGAUAUAAAUCACAGAGAAGCGGGCGAAAAGUCGCAUUUGAAAUUGAGGGAUCAAGAUGGAGACAAACUAGUUUUACAUUGUUGAAAAGUCAUAUGAAAUUGUUCAUGGAAAGAGACA